GAAAAUGCAAUGAAGGGAAUACAGUAAUGUUUGUUUCACUGUUUAAGAGAGCUGGUGGAUGGUGUGAAUCAGUACAAAAACAAGCAUGAAUUACAAUUCUGGAGCAUCUUUUUCGAAGUAAAGGUCGACAUUUACUUUGAAAAAGACGGUCAUCGAUCGUUAAAUAAAACAAGUGGCAGAUAUAAUUCUGCAAUUAGGGUGGUACCACGGUGAAAAUCGUCCCUGUC
rnacentral:ncRNA from 1 species